rnacentral:rRNA from 1 species
GAUGAACGCUGGCGGCGUGCCUAAUACAUGCAAGUAGAACGCUGAAGGAGGAGCUUGCUCUUCUGGAUGAGUUGCGAACGGGUGAGUAACGCGUAGGUAACCUGCCUGGUAGCGGGGGAUAACUAUUGGAAACGAUAGCUAAUACCGCAUGACAACAGUUAUUGCAUGAUAACUGUUUAAAAGGGGCAACUGCUCCACUACCAGAUGGACCUGCGAUGUAUUAGCUAGUUGGUGAGGUAACGGCUCACCAAGGCGACGAUACAUAGCCGACCUGAGAGGGUGAUCGGCCACACUGGGACUGAGACACGGCCCAGACUCCUACGGGAGGCAGCAGUAGGGAAUCUUCGGCAAUGGACGGAAGUCUGACCGAGCAACGCCGCGUGAGUGAAGAAGGUUUUCGGAUCGUAAAGCUCUGUUGUAAGAGAAGAACGAGUGUGAGAGUGGAAAGUUCACACUGUGACGGUAUCUUACCAGAAAGGGACGGCUAACUACGUG